rnacentral:rRNA from 1 species
UACGUAGGUGGCAAGCGUUGUCCGGAUUUACUGGGCGUAAAGGGCGUGCAGGCGGUUUGUUAAGUGCAGGGUGAAAGCUCCCGGCUCAACUGGGAGAGGUCCUUGCAUACUGGCAAACUCGAGGGAGGCAGAGGAAAGUGGAAUUCCCGGUGUAGUGGUGAUAUGCGUAGAUAUUCGGAGGAACACCAGUGGCGGAAGGGCGCUCACUGGUCCGGUACUGACGCUGAGACGCGGAAAGCCAGGGGAGCCAAAGCG